UGCCCAAGGCCACACAGCUGGUAACAGGGA
rnacentral:piRNA from 1 species